AUUGAACGCUGGCGGCAUGCCUAACACAUGCAAGUCGAACGGGUUGUAGCAAUACAACUAGUGGCGGACGGGUGAGGAAUACAUAGGAAUUUGCCUUUAGGUGGGGGAUAGUCCGGGGAAACUCGGUUUAAUACCGCAUGAUGUCGCAAGACCAAAGCCGGGGAUCGCAAGACCUGGCGCCUUUAGAGAAGCCUAUGUCUGAUUAGCUAGUUGGUAGGGUAACGGCCUACCAAGGCGACGAUCAGUAACUGGUCUGAGAGGACGAUCAGUCACACCGGAACUGAGACACGGUCCGGACUCCUACGGGAGGCAGCAGUGGGGAAUAUUGGACAAUGGGCGAAAGCCUGAUCCAGCAAUGCCGCGUGUGUGAAGAAGGCCUUCGGGUUGUAAAGCACUUUGAUCUGGGAAGAAAAAGCUUCACCUAAUACGUGAAGCCUUGACGGUACCAGAGGAACAAGCACCGGCUAACUCUGUGCCAGCAGCCGCGGUAAUACAGAGGGUGCUAGCGUUAAUCGGAUUUACUGGGCGUAAAGCGUGUGUAGGCGGUUCGUUAAGUCGGAUGUGAAAGCCCUGGGCUCAACCUAGGAAUUGCAUUCGAUACUGGCGAGCUAGAGUACGGUAGAGGGUGGCGGAAUUCCGGGU
rnacentral:rRNA from 1 species